AUUGAACGCUGGCGGCAGGCCUAACACAUGCAAGUCGAGCGGAUGAAGGGAGCUUGCUCCUGGAUUCAGCGGCGGACGGGUGAGUAAUGCCUAGGAAUCUGCCUGGUAGUGGGGGAUAACGUCCGGAAACGGGCGCUAAUACCGCAUACGUCCUGAGGGAGAAAGUGGGGGAUCUUCGGACCUCACGCUAUCAGAUGAGCCUAGGUCGGAUUAGCUAGUUGGUGGGGUAAAGGCCUACCCAGGCGACGAUCCGUAACUGGUCUGAGAGGAUGAUCAGUCACACUGGAACUGAGACACGGUCCAGACUCCUACGGGAGGCAGCAGUGGGGAAUAUUGGACAAUGGGCGAAAGCCUGAUCCAGCGAUGCCGCGUGUGUGAAGAAGGUCUUCGGAUUGUAAAGCACUUUAUGUUGGGAGGAAGGGCAGUAAGUUAAUACCUUGCUGUUUUGACGGUACCUACAGAAUAAGCACCGGCUAACUUCGUG
rnacentral:rRNA from 1 species